GAUGAGCAGCCCCUCACCCACCCUGUCCCGCCCUCGCCUCCCUGGGGACAGGGAGCCGUGGCCACCGCCGGCCGCACGGAGCCAUCGACCCUCAGGCCUCCGUAGCCUCCCGAGACAGGAGGGCGCGGUCCCGGCCUGCGUGGCCAGCCAGGAGCACGAGGACUGCGCAGGGCGGGCCCUGGGGCUGGGGUGGGGCGAGGGAGAAUGAACACGGGGCCGGGGAACACGGACGCCGGACGGACGCAGCGUGGCCCAGAACCGCGGGGCCCUGGGCGCAAGGUGCUGCCAGCCCAGAAGCCCCUCGGGCCGAGCCACAGACCAGCUGCGAGGCGGAAGCCGGCCUGGCCAGAGCCCUGGAGCCGAGCCCCCGGGUGGCGAGGACAGGUGCGCCGGGUUCCACCACGGAGGAAAGGAGCCCGCAGCCCAGGUGUCCCACAGGGAGGAAACAGCGCCUUGCUGGAGGCAGUCUUAUGUGUGGUUUCCGUGUCUGCCGGGCGACCCAGGCCACGGCCAGGCAGGACGGAGCCGCGCUCACUGCUGGGAGACGGGUCGUCUGUGUCCUCGCACCCUUGGAGAGGUCUAAGGUGGCGACAGGAGCUCCUGUGAGGCACCCGGAAGUCGGUGCUCCGGGCAGGGAGCUGUGCGGCCAGGUGUGAACGUAACAGGCGGCGCUGCACGAGAGAAAGAGGACUCCAGCCGGAGGGAGGGACGGGCAUGUUGUCUGGAAGCAUUACCUUCAUUUUAUGUUAGUGUCGGAAGAAAUGUUCAGCUCCGGUGCAAACGACAGAGUGGCAGCAGACCGGGCACAGUUUCCCGGGCCGGAAUCAGGGGGAAGCUUAUAGGAUCAGACAGGUCCGCUGUUUCUUCGGUGGGUGCAGGAGGAUUUCUGCCGGGAAGUGCGCUGCCAACAGCGCUCGUCCAAGAGGGACUCAUCCCUUUCCGUUGUCAUUUAAGCCACAGUCACUGAUUCGCUCGGACAAGAUACUGGGCCGGUCCAACGUCCCUGGCUGAGCCUGACCUCGGGGUUUGCAUCUCCAGCCUGAAAUCUCGUUUAAUCGUUCAUGCAUCAUUCUGCCUUAUUUUAGUGACAUCCUCCUGGCACACCCAUUGCACUCAGACUGAAAGGCAAACAAUAGCUUUGUGUUCACGACAGCCGCCGGCGGCGCUGUGGAUGGACCGCGGGUGACAUCUGACGGGCUCCGCCAGGCAGGCGUCCGGGAAUGUGCUGUGGCUCCACCUGGCUCCCCACAGCCCAGCUCCUCUGGGGGAGCCCCGGCUCGGCCCCCCGAACCCCGCCGUGCACCUCCCAGGAACAGCAGCCGCACAGGCCGGCCACUUAGGAUGCAAAGAUGUGCACUGCAGCGCGCCCAAAUUUACGCCCACCGUGUUUAUUUGGACCAUCAUGAUUCUGCAUGUUGUAUAUACAUAUGGAGACCACACGCCCUCUGUACCCACCACGGACACUCCUAACCACAGCUCCUUAACAAUUAAAAAAAAAGGCAAACUGUACAGGAAAGAAGCAUGUAAAUAUGUAUCGAUGCUUAUGAAGUUGUUGCUGUUUAUAUGUAAAAAGUAUGUACAUAGGAAAGGGAAAAUGGCUCAACGAAUGUUUUAAAUAAUGUCCCAGUUACCAAAUUGCACCUGCGCCCCAGCCGUAUUCCUGAAAGCACAUAUUCAGGUGAAAUGUCAGUCCCUCUCUCUAAAGAGCAUUGUUUUCAUUCAUAUGCCAUGUGUACCUUGUUUUCAUCGGACUGCAUGCAUCAUUCCAGAGCUGGGCUUUUGCCAAAAAAAAAAAAAAGCAAACGUGAGCAUAUAUCACUGAUUCUUCCUGGUCCAGGGAGCAUCUGAAGAAUUCAAGUGUUUUAAAAUAAGGUGCAUUUUCUAAACUUUAGGCUAUACCUUUUAUUCUACACCAGUGGGCUAGGCUGAAUUUCUUCCAAGCAUCUGGGUCUCUCGCUGCCAGCCCUUUGCAGGGGGGAGGCUGUGUGCACACACCUCACCCCCAGCGAAGCAAGAGGAGGGACCCUGGGACAUUGCCAGGAGUGUUUACUGUGUAACCAAGACAGGAACGUUCAUAUACACGAGCAGUUAUCGAUUCGUCGUUACCAUGUGCACACGCAGAGCACCACGCACGUUCUAGUAUGUCUAAACUACAAAUCCAUGUGAGUUGCAGGUUCCUUUGUUUACCUUACUGCUGAAGGACUGUGGCUGUUCCUCGAAGUCUCUGCCCUGGCAGAAUCUGUAGCCUUCAGGAUACCCGAGUGCCUUACGCGGCUGGGGACAGCAACACAGGGAGGGGGCGUGCCCGCGAGCGGGCUGGGGCGCAUCGACCCGUUGAUCAGCAUUUCCAUCACUCCAUCACUGAAACCUUAAAAACGGAUUGUGUGUUUUAACACAGUAAUGGAUUUAAGUUUAGGCUCAGGAAAAUCAUAUUGUGAAUAUGUGUAUGGAAUCAUAGAUUUGUUUACUGUAUGUUUUUUAAAAAGCUUUACUGUAAAUUCAUGCAAAGACUAAUAGGACCUUGUUUUCUCACGGCAGAAUGGCAGGCAGUAUUUGUGUUCUCUGAAGCAAUUCCUUAAUAACCACAUUCUUCUAAACUCGUGAUACCCUGUUCAGUGCUAAACAGUAUUCAAAGGCCUAAAAGAGGUUUGUAUGGUGUUCAACUACCAAUUUUUACAAGUAUUUUUGUAUUGUGAUUCCUAUCGUAUAUACCAGAGAAUUUUUACUCAUUUGUAAAUUAUUGUACAGUUUUAAUAAAAAUCGUUUUAAAUCUGA